AGUGCGUAAUAGCUCACUAGUCGAGUGACACUGCGCCGAAAAUGUACCGGGGCUAAACAUAUUACCGAAGCUGUGCAGUGACCUUUGGACAAUCGUAGGAGAGCAUUCUAACUGCGUUCCAGCAUUAUCAUCAGAACAUAUGGAGCGCUUAGAAGUGAGAAUGCCGGUGUGAGUAGCGAAAGACGGGUGAGAAUCCCGUCCACCGAUUGACUAAGGUUUCCAGAGGAAGGCUCGUCCGCUCUGGGUUAGUCGGGUCCUAAGCUGAGGCCGACAGGCGUAGGCGAUGGAUAACAGGUUGAUAUUCCUGUACCACCUAUAAUCGUUUUAAUCGAUGGGGGGACGCAGUAGGAUAGGCGAAGCGUGCGAUUGGAUUGCACGUCUAAGCAGUAAGGCUGAGUAUUAGGCAAAUCCGGUACUCGUUAAGGCUG
rnacentral:rRNA from 1 species